GACAGCCUUGGUCCUAGGCUUACUGUUCUUAAUUAUCAAACUUAUACAUGCAAGCCUCGCCGUACCAGUGAGUAAACCCAUUGCUUAGUCCUUACACAGAUUAUAAAUGGGCCGGUAUUAGGCACAACCAACGGAAAGCCCACAAUACCUUGCUACGCCACACCCACACGGGUAUUCAGCAGUAAUAAACAUUGGGCUAUAAGCGAAAGCUCGACCCAGUCAUGAUACAACCACGGGCCGGUAAAAUUCGUGCCAGCCACCGCGGUUAUACGAAUGGCCCAAAACAACAACAAUCGGCGUAAAGCGUGACUAAACCGAGCCCUAUAACAUUAUGGGAAAACCACAGCCCGAGCCGUAAAACGCUACGACAACAUGAACACCUUAAACCCAUAACCUUAAACAGGCCAUUUGACCACACCAAAGCCAAGAAACAAACCAGGAUUAGAUACCCUGCUAUGCUCGGCCCUAAACAUCGGAAGUUCCUACAACACACCCCGCCAGAGAACUACAAGCAAAAGCUUUAAACUCAAAGGACUUGGCGGUGCCCCACACCACCCUAGAGGAGCCUGUCCUAUAAUCGAUACCCCACGUUAAACCUCACCACAUUUUGCACUCGCCAGCCUAUAUACCGCCGUCGUAUGCUUACACCAUGAGGGCAUAUAAGUAAGCACAACAGUAACAUACUAAAACAUCAGGUCAAGGUGUAGCUAACAAAGUGGAAGCGAUGGGCUACAUUUUCUACAACAGAACAUACGGCAAAUACAAUGAAAUACUGAAUUACAAGGUGGAUUUAGCAGUAAACUAAGGCAAGAAUGCCAACUUUAACCCUGCUCUGGGGCGCGCACACACCGCCCGUCACCCUCAUCAAAAACAACCACAAGCAGUCCAUAAAACUAUUCGACCAACACAAGAUGAGGUAAGUCGUAACAUGGUAAGCGCACCGGAAGGUGUGCUUGGUCCUA
rnacentral:ncRNA from 1 species